CAAAGACCUACGUAUUUAGAAUGAAAAACUGACACAGAUCCAGAGAGUGUGUAUCAGCAAAAGAAUUUCAUUUUCCUAAGACAGAAAAAUGUUGUUGUUGGGCUAUAGGCAAGUUUUAUUGAUCAUGUGUAUCCUGUCUCCUUCCAAAGACAGAUGAGUUGUGGUAGAUAGCUCUGAGAAAAAAAGAAAGAAGAUUCCUUUCUGAGUUAUGCAGACGCUCUAAGUGGCUUCAUUAAUAAUAAACCUACCAGAACUGUGAUUUCUAAAAAGUUUCUCCCUUGGACUCUAAAACAAUAUCCUAUGACUCAUCACUACCAACUGAGCUAUACACACACACUCAGGGAAGAGACAGAAAGCUGAAGAGGGGGCCAGCCCAGCAACAGCGAUCAACCACGUGCCUCAGGAAAGAUUCUCUAAGUCUCUUAAUCAAACGUUUCACAUGACUGGCUAAUCUUUGGGACCGCAAAAGCACUUGGCAAGUGCACUCCCAAGCACUGGCAGGGAAUAAAUACCCUAAACCUAGUUACAGCAAAUGUUUUCCCCAAAGAGCAUGCUGGCCCUUCAGCUUCUCAGAAAUCUGUUCCCCAGUCAACUCUCAACUCUCCAAAUUAAGCAGAAAAUUCAUGGAGGGAAAAAAAAAAUCUACUGAUAAUAUAAAAAGUUCCCUUUAGUGAACUUACUUUCUUUCCUUAAUUAGAACAGUACUUAGAAAAAAAAAACAACAACAACUCUGAGCACCUUCACCUCUAACAUCCUCGACAUCUCUGCUACAGGGGAUAGAAAGAUGCUAAGACAGAUAUGGGCUUCUGGAUCACACAAG
rnacentral:lncRNA from 1 species